GGCACAGAGCAGGCUAGGUCUGCCGCGA
rnacentral:piRNA from 1 species